UACGGGGGGGGCAAGCGUUGGUUCGGAAUUACUGGGCGUAAAGGGCGCGUAGGCGGUUGGAUAAGUCAGCUGUGAAAACCACGGGCUUAACUCGUGGCCUGCAGUUGAGGACUGUCGGGCUAGAGUGCGGAAGAGGCGAGUGGAAUUCCUGGUGGUAGCGGGUGAAAUGCGCAGAUAUCAAGGAGGAACACCUAUUGGCGAAGGCAGCUCGCUGGGACGUAACUGACGCUGAGACGCGAAAGCGUGGGGAGCAAACAGG
rnacentral:rRNA from 1 species